UACGAAGGGGGCUAGCGUUGCUCGGAAUCACUGGGCGUAAAGCGCACGUAGGCGGACUAUUUAAGUCAGGGGUGAAAUCCUGGAGCUCAACUCCAGAACUGCCUUUGAUACUGGCGAUCUCGAGUCCGGGAGAGGUGAGUGGAACUGCGAGUGUAGAGGUGAAAUUCGUAGAUAUUCGCAAGAACACCAGUGGCGAAGGCGGCUCACUGGCCCGGUACUG
rnacentral:rRNA from 1 species